GUUUCUCCCAAACCCACACCUACGUUAUGGCAUGUCAUCAUUUGCUGCUUCACAGGAGGAACUUCCAACAAGUGAAAACCUGAGAAGAUGUUUGCACUGCCUCGGGGCACACAGCCCCCAACACUGCUGAUCCACAGCCCAGUACAGCUUUCUGUCGGGGAAAUGAGGGCAGACCAGAAAGUGUUAGCCAUAUGAUUCCUGUUACCAUCAAAAACAAUCAUAGUGUGUGACACAGACCAUCUGUUUAGGAUAUGGCAGACACACUUGGAAAAUCCAGAAUAAUGAGAUCUCAAAUCCAUCAUUUGUUAGAGACGUUAUUGGUCCAAGAAGAUGCCCUUUGGGUCCUCUGUGCUGAGGCGUCAUUAGAUGGACCAGCCAGACCUCACACCUACCUGUGCUCUACAUCUCACGUCAUAACUGCGUGUCCCUUGGCUGGCUGACCUGGGGUUGUACUGUGCUGUUGGCACAGUGCUGGCCGCCCACAAGGGUGUGGUGACAAUUGCUGAAGUAAAUGCCAUACAGCAUUCUGAGCAAUUCAAAAGAGGGAUGCUGGCCAGCUACCCCAAGUCAUGGCACAC